UUUUAUAUUUUGUCAAAUCUCGUAUUUUCUCGUUGUUCAUGACUCGUGGUGCCUCAUUUUGCUCCAUAAUCUUACAAGACGUUAUCAACACGACCCUCUGCCAUUUUUCCCUCUAAAGUGCUACCAUGACAAAUCUCAUCAAAUUAGAGUUUACUACCCUUGACAUGAAUGACAAUAAUUAUUUGUCAUGGGUACUGGAUGUUGAGAUUUAUCUUGAUGAUAUAAACCUAGGAGAAACCAUCAAAAAGAAAAUACAACGACGAGUCAAGAUAAGGCGAAAGCCAUGAUUUUCCUUCGUCACUAUCUCCACGAGGGAUUGAAGAUGCAAUAUCUAACAAUAAAAGAUCCUCGUGUAUUAUGACAAAAUUUGAAAGAGAGAUAUGAUCAUCAGAAAACAAUUAUUCUU